GUCAAAUUAGUUACAACAUUUUCCGUUGCCAAGCGAGAGGACGUUAGCUAAUUUGUCAGAGGAAUUUGAUCAGUUUGUAUGCAACCACCACUUCUCUAUAUUUUUGUGUUCUGUGACGGUACCAUUCAAGUACGACUAGAAUUCCGAUUCCUACACAUUCGUCGCAGAAGGGUUAUACCAUAUCUUUCGAGCGAAGUACCAGUAAUUUUUCCGUAUUUCAAUACCGUUAAAUUUUUAAUAUUUACGUUAUAAACUUUGUCUUGAUGUUGACAGUGUGAAUUGGGUUAGGUAAGAGCUACCUGUUGACAGUUGGCCGGCCGCUUCCAAGCACGCGUAUUAAAAUUGCUAUCGUAUCGGCUUGUAAAAUUGCUAUUAAUAUCGUUCCGUCCCGUUCCGUUUUAUUUUAUUUUGAAACUAUCGCUUGAGCCCAUUUUUCUCCUUGUUUUGUGGGGCAAGCAACAGCCGUGAUUAAUAACUGGUGCCUGGCCAUUAUUUUUCUUUAUGUUUUGUAGGGCAGGUAGUAAGCGGGAUAUCUUGACAGAAUAAUCGUAAAAUUAUCCGCGUUACGGUAUUUUGGUUUCCAGUUACAUGCUUGGAAAACGGUGGUAUUUUACUUUUUCGCUGGGAGUUUUUAUCUGUGAUUUAUUGUUAGAAUAUUCAUAUUGAUUCCGCUCCGUUUUAUGAACUUUUAAAACUGUGGUUUGGACGUUAUUUUUCUUCGUAUUUUCUGGGACAGGUGAUUACAACAGCGUUUCAUUAAUUCCGUUCGCGAAAAGUUAUUCUUGUUUGAAACCAGAGAAACACUUCUUUAUGUUGUGAAAGGCUUAUCUUCUUCAUGUUGUAAAAGAUAAGUAAUAACUAAGUCCGUGAUAUUAUAAUUACUAUUCAUAUAUUAACAGAGCAGGGGUAAAUGUUGACCGAUUGAUUGAUUUUGCUUCGCUUGAUUGGUGUUGAGUUCCUGGCUUCACGAAUGUCAUCCAUAACCGUUUGUAUAAAAAUACCAUAACCCCUUCCCUUUAAUCAUACUGCUUUCAGUCAUUAGUAGAGUGCCGAAUUUUCCGGUACAUUUUUCCAAAUAACUGCCUGUGCUUAAUCAUAGAAAUUGGUAAUUGGAGAUUGUUAGAUUUUAAAGAAACAUAUUCUCCUAUAAGUGUACAAAGAAAUAGUGAAGGCGUUGACGGAUACUCUGGGACGUCAAAAGUUAGAGGGUGGAUUUACGUUUAGUACAUAACAAGCCCCGCUACAAAUUGCAAGUGAAACUACAAGGUGUAGCAAAAAUAUUAUUAAGACAUUUUUCGUGCAGAAUUUAAUAAACUAUUAAAUUUUUUCUCCUUUUUCAAAUUAUAUCCAAAUAUUUCAUAAAAAUUGUUCAAAAUUAUUUCCAUUUUUGCUUACACAAAUUUCACAUAAUCUAUAUAUAUAUAUAUAUAUAUGUAUAAGAUGCGCACGCAAAUUCUCUAUAGCUGUUAUUAUUGAUUGCUGUAGUUAUUCAGAAUUUUUAUGCCGCACCAUAAUAUAAACUUUAUUUUUAAGUAGCUCCAGAAAAAAAUCCGAAAUAGAAAGAUCGGGAAAUUUUGCUGGCCACCUUAUGAGAUCAUUGGCUCCUAUCCAUUUUUGUAGAAAGAAAUCCGCUAGGAAUGACCGAAUAAUAUUAGUAUUAUGUCCUGGUGGACCAUCUUGAAUUGCAUAUAUAUAUUGUUUAAAUUUGCCGAAGGAACAUUUUCUAAAACCUCGGGUAUAACUUCUUGUAGUAUGUUUAAAUACCAGUCUACUAUUAGCACCCUUUCAAAUAUUCUAAAAACUAGUUGCCCACCAAAAAUGAAACAUGUAACGCUAAAUCCGAACCUUCCUUGACGUUGACGUUCAAGAGUAAUGAGAAUUUUUCUUAGAACAUUGAAAGGUUAGAAUUAGUAAACAACAACUUCGUUUGAGUUCAACAUGUACACAGGGGCAAGGGGAGCAUACGUUAAAAUACAAAUAUGCCCAGCCAAUCAGAGAAAUUGAGAGUGGAGCAGCACUGCUGAUCCUUUCGUGAAAGUUCGUACGUCAAAUUUCGUUGCCGAUUAGCUAAGGAAAUUGAAAAUCAACGGAUUGGGGCAGAGAAUAAUUAAAAGUAUGUUAAUAUAGUUGUAUAAUAUAGUAAUUUAAUAUUCAUUUCUCUAUGGAUUGGGGAUUGGUUUUCUUUAACUUAACCUAUAUUGCAGAUUUUAUUUGCUUUGCUUGCUUCCUAAUAAUUGAUUUAAUUAUCAACAAUUAUAUCAACUUUGUGACUAUUUGAGUAAAAAUUCAUAGUGUAUAGUGUUGAGUGUUUACUCCAAUAUCUAUACAAUCCAUAUCUGUGCUGGUUUUGGGCUCAAAAACAAACAAUUUAGUGUUUAAGUUUCAUUACCUUUCAAUAAAGUUGCCAGUGUUUCUUAGUGUAUAAUUUCCUUCCACUUAAACCUAUAUUUGCACUUAUCUGUUGCUGUCUGUUAGACAAUUAUGGCAUCACUAAGGUAAGAUACAUAUAAUUUUUUUAGUUCUAAUUUGAAUAAUUAUUUAUUUUGCAGUCAACAAAAUGCAAUCUGUGAAGUUUGUGAUAAGGAAUUUUUAAGCACAUCUACCAGAAACAGGCAUUGGACAAAGUUUCACCCUGAAUUUGUUGGGAAGGAACAAAUAAAACACAUUAUAAUGUCGAAUGUGUACUAAUGAUAUCCAGACAUUUUCAUAUUUUAACUGUUUAAACAAACAUUUGCUUGAUAUUCACCAUAUCAAUUUUAAGAAUCAAUUUUAAAUUUUAGGAAUUUUGAAGAAUUCACAUAUUGGAGGGCACAAGAUAAUAGGGAUAGAUAGAUAAUAAGAUAGUUAAUAAGAUAGAUAAUAAGAUAGAUAGAUAAUAGAUAGAUAGAAAGAUAAUAGAUUAUGCUUGUCAGACCCGAAACAAGUUUAAGAAUGGGGAAGAACACAUAUUUUACAAUUGCAACAGGAGUGAUAUCAGAGGAUUUAAUAGCGCGUGCAAAGUGAGAAGUCUGGGGGAAGCAUUCGCAUUCAAGGAACAUGUCAACAGGACCAAACUCAAAUAGCUAUCAGCAUAAAAUUGUAAUAGAAGCCCAUAACAAAGCCGAAAAAAUGAAUGGUAAGGUAGAAUUUUUAGAAUUUGGAAAAUUUAAAGUACAAAGUGUAUCGGUAAGUGGUAAGUUCUAUGUUGUGUCUUGUCAUGAACUAUGUGAUGAGCAAUAUCGCACUGGAUACUGUAACAUCUGUAAAAUAUGUUUUUAUAAAUACAGAUGUGAGUGUCCAGAAAAUUCUGUCAAAACAGUACCUUGUAAACAUAUACAUGCUGUAGGCUGUAGCCAUUUUUGAGCAGAGGAGCGAGUUUGUUGUAGGUUCCCCAACUGUGAGUGAAGAGGAAGAGGAUAAUGUUUUGUUUGUUGAUCUACCCACAACUAGCCAAAUCAAUUAUCAGGAGGAUGUAAACCAUUUUAUUCAGGAGAGUUCAAAAAUGAAAGUCUGGAUGGACUUUGAAGAAAAUUUGAGAGAGAAAAAUUCGAGAAGUAGUUUGAGUAAAAUAUAAGUUACAUUUUUAUUAAAUCGUUUAUACUUAUUUUAAGAUGCAAGAAAUUUGUAGCUAUGGUAGAAGUUUAGAUAAAUAUGCAUUUGCCAGAUUUAUGGCUGUAAUCAACAAAUUUAAAAAUAAAGAGGUGGAGGAAGAAAAUUCUCAGGGCAUUGAAAAGAAAAGAAAAAUUAAAAAACACAUGUACUAUCCAAAUAAAAAAUAAGCUAGAUUUCUUUGUGUAUUUAAUGGCUAGAUAAUAUUUGAAUUGUAGCUAUUUUUUUAUGUUUGUAUUAUAGCUGUGAAGUUAACAAAAAUAGGAUGUGGUAUUUUGUGUUAUAAUCAGUAUAAUAUAACUAAGUAUAUUUUUUGUAAGGUUUUAGUGCAGGUUUCAAAUUGUAAAAACAAAUUUUAAGACGUCAUAGGUGUUGGUUUCUGUAUAACUAUUUUUAUAUCUUUUAUUUUAAGACUAAAAUGUUAGCUUAUUUUGUAUGUUAAUAUUCAACUAAUCAUUUUCUAUUACAUUUUGUUUGCUACGUUUUUAAAUUUUUUUAGGGUGCAGAAAAGCUAAUUGGAUUAACUUGAAAUUGACAUGGAACGAGGGGGAAGAUCCUCUGUGAGUAUAUAUUUAUUAAUUAAAAUGUAUACAGAGCAGUAAUUUUUUUCCAUGUUACUAUUGUAUGGAAGUUUGAAUGGUUUGGGCUGUAUAUACAUGACCAGCAGAGAUGACAAAUAAGCUAAAGAAGUGGGAGUCUACAUACUAUAUACCAGAUUAAUACAUUUAGCCUCUUUGCAUUUAAUUUUGAGGUUGUUGAUAUUAAAAAUACCAUAAAUUAUUAUAUUUAAAUAACAAAUAAA